AUUGAACGCUGGCGGCAGGCCUAACACAUGCAAGUCGAGCGGUAACACAGAGGAGCUUGCUCCUUGGGUGACGAGCGGCGGACGGGUGAGUAAUGCCUGGGGAUCUGCCCGAUAGAGGGGGAUAACUACGGGAAACUGUAGCUAAUACCGCAUAACGUCUACGGACCAAAGUGGGGGCUCUUCGGACCUCAUGCUAUCGGAUGAACCCAGGUGGGAUUAGCUAGUUGGUGAGGUAAUGGCUCACCAAGGCGACGAUCUCUAACUGGUUUGAGAGAAUGACCAGUCACACUGGAACUGAGACACGGUCCAGACUCCUACGGGAGGCAGCAGUGGGGAAUAUUGCACAAUGGGCGCAAGCCUGAUGCAGCCAUGCCGCGUGUGUGAAGAAGGCCUUCGGGUUGUAAAGCACUUUCAGCGGGGAGGAAGGGUCACUAGUUAAUACCUAGUGGCAUUGACGUUACUCGCAGAAGAAGCACCGGCUAACUCCGUGCCAGCAGCCGCAGUAAGAC
rnacentral:rRNA from 1 species